rnacentral:rRNA from 1 species
GACGAACGCUGGCGGCGUGCUUAACACAUGCAAGUCGAACGGAAAGGCCUGCAGCUUGCUGCGGGUACUCGAGUGGCGAACGGGUGAGUAACACGUGGGUGAUCUGCCUUGCACUUCGGGAUAAGCUUGGGAAACUGGGUCUAAUACCGGAUAGGACAGCUGUUUAGUGUCAGUUGUGGAAAGUUUUUUCGGUGCAAGAUGAGCUUGCGGCCUAUCAGCUUGUUGGUGGGGUAAUGGCCUACCAAGGCGUCGACGGGUAGCCGGCCUGAGAGGGUGUACGGCCACAUUGGGACUGAGAUACGGCCCAGACUCCUACGGGAGGCAGCAGUGGGGAAUAUUGCACAAUGGGCGGAAGCCUGAUGCAGCGACGCCGCGUGGGGGAUGAAGGCCUUCGGGUUGUAAACUCCUUUCGACAGGGACGAAGCUUUUGUGACGGUACCUGUAUAAGAAGCACCGGCUAACUACGUGCCAGCAGCCGCGGUAAUACGUAGGGUGCGAGCGUUGUCCGGAAUUACUGGGCGUAAAGAGCUCGUAGGUGGUUUGUCGCGUCGUCUGUGAAAUUCCGGGGCUUAACUUCGGGCGUGCAGGCGAUACGGGCUGACUUGAGUGCUGUAGGGGAGACUGGAAUUCCUGGUGUAGCGGUGAAAUGCGCAGAUAUCAGGAGGAACACCGAUGGCGAAGGCAGGUCUCUGGGCAGUAACUGACGCUGAGGAGCGAAAGCAUGGGUAGCGAACAGGAUUAGAUACCCUGGUAGUCCAUGCCGUAAACGGGGGGCGCUAGGUGUAGGGGGCUUCCACGUCUUCUGUGCCGUAGCUAACGCAUUAAGCGCCCCGCCUGGGGAGUACGGCCGCAAGGCUAAAACUCAAAGGAAUUGACGGGGGCCCGCACAAGCGGCGGAGCAUGUGGAUUAAUUCGAUGCAACGCGAAGAACCUUACCUGGGCUUGACAUAUACAAGACAGGCGUAGAGAUACGUCCUCCCUUGUGGUUUGUAUACAGGUGGUGCAUGGUUGUCGUCAGCUCGUGUCGUGAGAUGUUGGGUUAAGUCCCGCAACGAGCGCAACCCCUAUACUUAGUUACCAGCGAAUAAAGUCGGGGACUCUAAGUAGACUGCCGAUGACAAAUCGGAGGAAGGUGGGGAUGACGUCAAAUCAUCAUGCCCUUUAUGUCCUGGGCUACACACGUGCUACAAUGGUUGGUACAGAGGGAAGCUAUAUAGUGAUAUAAUGCAAAACUCCAAAGCCAAUCCCAGUUCGGAUUGUAGGCUGCAACUCGCCUACAUGAAGUCGGAGUUGCUAGUAAUCGCGGAUCAGAAUGUCGCGGUGAAUGCGUUCCCGGGUCU